rfam:Aedes albopictus isolate Foshan contig53459, whole genome shotgun sequence.
UACCAGAUGGCCUAGUGGAUAAGGCUGUGGAUCGCCAAUCCGUAGACGGCGGGUUCGAUUCCCGUUCCAGUCG